UACGUAGGGAGCAAGCGUUGUUCGGAUUUACUGGGCGUAAAGCGUGCGCAGGCGGUUUUGUAAGACCGAUGUGAAAUCCCCGGGCUUAACCUGGGAACUGCAUUGGUGACUGCAGAGCUAGAGUGUGUCAGAGGGAGGUGGAAUUCCGCGUGUAGCAGUGAAAUGCGUAGAGAUGCGGAGGAACACCGAUGGCGAAGGCAGCCUCCUGGGAUAACACUGACGCUCAGGCACGAAAGCGUGGGGAGCAAACAGG
rnacentral:rRNA from 1 species